UACGUAGGGUGCAAGCGUUGUCCGGAUUUAUUGGGCGUAAAGAGCUCGUAGGCGGCUUGUCGCGUCGACUGUGAAAACCCGCGGCUCAACCGCGAGCCUGCAUUCGAUACGGGCAGGCUAGAGUUCGGUAGGGGAGACUGGAAUUCCUGGUGUAGCGGUGAAAUGCGCAGAUAUCAGGAGGAACACCGAUGGCGAAGGCAGGUCUCUGGGCCGAUACUGACGCUGAGGAGCGAAAGCGUGGGGAGCGAACAGG
rnacentral:rRNA from 1 species